AGCUCUGCUGCUCACUGGCAGU
rnacentral:miRNA from 1 species